rnacentral:rRNA from 1 species
CCUACGGGCGGCAGCAGUCGAGAAUCAUUCACAAUGGGGGAAACCCUGAUGGUGCGACGCCGCGUGGGGGAAUGAAGGUCUUCGGAUUGUAAACCCCUGUCAUGUGGGAGCAAAUUAAAAAGAUAGUACCACAAGAGGAAGAGACGGCUAACUCUGUGCCAGCAGCCGCGGUAAUACAGAGGUCGCAAGCGUUGUUCGGAAUCACUGGGCGUAAAGCGUGCGUAGGCUGUUUCGUAAGUCGUGUGUGAAAGGCGCGGGCUCAACCCGCGGACGGCACAUGAUACUGCGAGACUAGAGUAAUGGAGGGGGAACCGGAAUUCUCGGUGUAGCAGUGAAAUGCGUAGAUAUCGAGAGGAACACUCGUGGCGAAGGCGGGUUACUGGACAUUAACUGACGCUGCGGCACGAAGGCCAGGGGAGCGAAAGGGAUUAGAUACCCUUGUAGUC